rnacentral:rRNA from 1 species
AUUUGCCUCUAGGAGGGGGACAACAGCUGGAAACGGCUGCUAAUACCCCAUAUGCUUUCGAGUGAAAUGAUUUUUUCGCCUGGAGAGAAGCUCGCGGCUGAUUAGCUUGUUGGUAAGGUAAUGGCUUACCAAGGCGACGAUCAGUAUCUGGUUUGAGAGGACGAUCAGACACACUGGAACUGAGACACGGUCCAGACUCCUACGGGAGGCAGCAGUAGGGAAUUUUCCGCAAUGGGCGAAAGCCUGACGGAGCAAUACCGCGUGAGGGAAGACUGCCUAUGGGUUGUAAACCUCUUUUUUCAGGGAGGAAUUCAAUGACGUGUACCUGAAGAAUAAGCAUCGGCUAACUCCGUGCCAGCAGCCGCGGUAAGACGGAGGAUGCAAGUGUUAUCCGGAAUCACUGGGCGUAAAGCGUCUGUCGGUGGUUGGACAAGUCAACUGUUAAAUCUUGAGGCUCAACCUCAAAAUCGCAGUCGAAACUGUUUGACUAGAGUAUAGUAGGGGUAAAGGGAAUUUCCAGUGGAGCGGUGAAAUGCGUAGAUAUUGGAAAGAACACCGAUGGCGAAGGCACAUUACUGGGCUAUUACUGACACUCAGAGACGAAAGCUAGGGUAGCAAAUGG